GGGAUAACAGUUGGAAACGACUGCUAAUACCGCAUAAGCGCACAGGAUCGCAUGAUCCGGUGUGAAAAACUCCGGUGGUAUGGGAUGGACCCGCGUCUGAUUAGCCAGUUGGCAGGGUAACGGCCUACCAAAGCGACGAUCAGUAGCCGACCUGAGAGGGUGACCGGCCACAUUGGGACUGAGACACGGCCCAAACUCCUACGGGAGGCAGCAGUGGGGAAUAUUGCACAAUGGGGGAAACCCUGAUGCAGCGACGCCGCGUGAGCGAAGAAGUAUUUCGGUAUGUAAAGCUCUAUCAGCAGGGAAGAAGAAUGACGGUACCUGACUAAGAAGCACCGGCUAAAUACGUGCCAGCAGCCGCGGUAAUACGUAUGGUGCAAGCGUUAUCCGGAUUUACUGGGUGUAAAGGGAGCGCAGGCGGUGCGGCAAGUCUGAUGUGAAAGCCCGGGGCUCAACCCCGGUACUGCAUUGGAAACUGUCGUACUAGAGUGUCGGAGGGGUAAGUGGAAUUCCUAGUGUAGCGGUGAAAUGCGUAGAUAUUAGGAGGAACACCAGUGGCGAAGGCGGCUUACUGGACGAUAACUGACGCUGAGGCUCGAAAGCGUGGGGAGCAAACAGGAUUAGAUACCCUGGUAGUCCACGCCGUAA
rnacentral:rRNA from 1 species